GGCAUCCACUGUUGCUGUCCUCUGAGCUAGGGCUCUCUUUCCUAUGUUGACUUGAUUUUUCAUACACCAGUGGACCAGUGGGUAAAAGCCAUUAUAAACACAUUGUUCAGUGUUGGUAUUGGCUGCUCUGUACCGGUAAAUGCCAGAAGUCAACAUUAAAAUACCAUGCAGAUGGAGAGGCUGUCCUCUGGAAGGAAGAGCAUCUCUCAAGAUGGUCUGAUGUGUCGGUUUUUUUAUUAAUUAUUCAGGCCAGUACUCUAUAUACCAAUAAAGCAAUUUUUCAUGAAAGAUUUCCCUAGUACUUAAGGAUGGAGCCAAAAAUGUCAAGUUUAUACCUUUUUUUUACUGUUCAAGGGGCAAAAGACCUGACUACUAGAUUUCUGAAAGCUAAAGUAGAGACCAAGAGGUCAUAUAAUUCUGGAUUUGCAAGAAGAAUUGAGAAGGGAGAGUGUCAAAGCGGGUGAGAAGGACCUGAAGAGACAGAAUUUUGUGGAAGAAAAAAUAAACAUGUUAUGGGCAGUGGCACCAUUGCUGGUGAACCCCUCGAGCCAUGGAUACAUUUCAUGUGACAGGGAGAUAAGCCUCAGGAGAAGGGAAGAAUAUAUAUAAACAGUUUUGUUACAUACCACUGUGUGGGCUCUUCCAUAACCAGCAGACAUUGGCAGUUUACAGGCUGUCAUGUUGCAAAUGGCCUCAUAGGCUCCUAUUCCUACUUAGUCACAUGCAAAUUACAGUCAGAAAAUGGAAAUCCUAAAUCCAAAUGUACCUCAUUUACAUUCCUUUGUAGUAACCCCACAUUCUCUCUGUUAGGAUUUUCUUUAAAUUGAUUUUGGUUUCAUGCUGGUCUGCCAAACCUCAUUAUUGCAGUUGGGCUGCAAGUUAUCAGACUGAUUUUUCAGCUUGUGUCUUAUUUGUUGAGAUCCUGGAAUUGCUUGUAAUGUCACUGAAAUAUAAUUGUAAGCAAGAAGAAUUUGCUUCCUUCUAAUAAGGCAUCAAUGGGACCCUAAUAUUCCUCAAAGCACAGUUCACUGUUCUAAAAGGAUCAUCCACUGUUAUGUUACAUGGCCCAUGACAUGUAAAUCUAAUGCCCUGUACAUUCAGCAGUGUGCGUAUCCAUGUAUUUGUGUAAAAGCAGGCUUUUCCUCAGUUAAAUCAAAAUACACAUAGAAAACUAAUGAAAAUAACAUCCCUUGCCAACAGAUACACCAUCUAGAAAACAAAAUUAAAAUGCAAACAGUGAACUGGGACUAGUUCAAUCUUUAGAGCUGUACAUGAAACAUUUAAAACCAGCACGUGCUGCUUCAUUUGCCAAGUAAGUAUAUCAGAUAUCUCUGAGGAAACUGAUGCUCUUGGUACUGGUUCAAGUUGCUUUAAAAGUGCUCAUGCUGGCCGUAUAGGACCUGCUGCAAGGUAUACAGCCAACUGCAGCUUGCUAAACACCUAAUUUUUGCUUUUACAGCUUUGAUGUAGAAAACAAAAAGCAUCUUUCUCAGUGGUACAUGGAAGGUCCCAUCAAAUUGGACUUGUACUAAUAUGCUGCAGUUAACAGUCUCUGCUUUGAAAAGUCCAGUCUAAAUUGGGACAAGAUACAAACUGAAGUGAAAUAUGGGUGGAGAAAAUGGGAAAGGAGAUGCAAGGAAGAAUGGGCCUGAGGUUCAGACACUGGCCAGGAUCAGCUUUGUUCAAUUCCUAAUUCUGGCAUUGAGUCCCUACCUCAGCAUCAUUUCUGUGACUUAGUGUCCCAAAAUGGGGGCAAUAUUUCUGUUCACUCUCCCUUUGCCUUGCCAAGCUCUUUGGGAACUCUUACUAAAAGUGUCAGUGUUGGCUAUCCUGCACGGUCAAAGAUGAUCACUCCCAUGGGUCAAGUAAAGGGUUUUAGAUGAAAGUAGAUGUUGGACCAGUAGAAGAAGCCUGCAUCUGACUUCUUUUAUGUGAGGAGGCUGUUGCACAUUGGCAACCAUACAGAUCUUGGUGGAGAAACCGGUGUCCAGUGGUAAGGAGAUCCAAGACAACUGGGGUUAUUCUUCUAUUGAAGCCUUCAUCUACCUUCACAGCCACUGAGAAAUAUACUUUCUGCACCCACCUGCUCCACCAUUGAGGUGUUGUUGUGCUGGACUGCUCUAUAUCUGAUACCUCACCUUUGACCUUACCGCUGCCAUGGGUGAUCCUACCAAGAGCACGGGACUCCUGAUGGAGUAUUGCUCUGAGGGUCAUCAGUGCAUGCAGAUCUAUCCAUCCUGUCAAGGUGGCAGUCCAUGGAGAGGACUAAAAGUGUGAACACCAGCUAACAAGAUGAGACCCUGACUGAGUUGGGGCUUUAGGUAACACUGUAAGAGUGUUUAAAACAAUGACACAAAUCUGUGAUUAAAUAGACUGUUUCUA